rnacentral:lncRNA from 10 species
GCCUCUGAGCUCUGCAUCCAGUGCUCACUCUCCACAGUGCCCCCCAACUCACCCACAGCAGCUGCCUCUAACAGCCAUACACAAAAGUAGCGAGAAAUGACCAUGCUGCCUUCUGGGCAGGACACUCCGUCCUGCAGAAGGGACCUUUAGGCUCACUCCUCAAUCUGGGAAGCCAGGCUGCCAGGGGAUGGGGCUGCUGGUUGGACUCACCCUGUCCUCUUCCUGCUGCUGUGUAGACACAGCAGAGAGAGCCCGCUCCAAUUCUUGAAUACGCUGUAAGGAGUAUUGCAGGCGGCCAGCCAGAUCCUUGGACUCUUCUGUAAUGAGAGAGGUUGAGAUGGGGCCCAAAGGACUCCCCCUAAAGACCUGUCAAAGUGACAGGUUGAAGGAUGAUGGGGUGCCCAGGUUCCCACCUUCGAAGUGUCGGGCAGCACGUUUAGUAUGGUAAAGGGUGGUCUUCAAGUCUGCCUUUUCCAAUGUGAGGAUGUCGAUUGCCUGGAAUUGAAUGUUUGGGAGAAAAGCCAAGCAAAUGCUGAAAGAGAAGGAAAGAAAUAUUCUCCAGAGGACAGGAGAAAGCUCCCCACCCUCCACUCACCUCUAACUGCUCCAUCUGUGCUUUGUGUAUUUCACUGUUGGUUUUCUUUUCCUAUAGGAAGAGGAAGACAGAGCUCUUACUAGGGGGAGGCCGAGAUGGCACAGCAAGAGACAUGCUCCCAGAAUGCCACCAAUGCCCCAGGACAGGCCCACCCAUGGGACCAGGUUAUCAGGGACCCUGUGGGGAUGGGGUGGAAUCUGAGGGGUGAGCCUUCUUCCCCAGGCUGGGAGAGGGCAAGAUGAGACUGGCGCCUCUGCAUCUGAGUGCCCCCCAAACCCAGCAGUCACGUUGUGAGCAAACAAAAAAUCACGUUACUUCUUCCAGCUGAUGUUCCACUUGUUUCUUCUGUUGUUUCUGUGGGGAGAGUCAAAUUCAGGUGACUGAGAGUGGCCCCCUC